UACGUAGGUGGCUAGCGUUGCUCGGAAUCACUGGGCGUAAAGCGCACGUAGGCGGAUUGCUAAGUCAGGGGUGAAAUCCUGGAGCUCAACUCCAGAACUGCCUUUGAUACUGGCAAUCUCGAGUCCGGGAGAGGUGAGUGGAACUGCGAGUGUAGAGGUGAAAUUCGUAGAUAUUCGCAAGAACACCAGUGGCGAAGGCGGCUCACUGGCCCGGUACUGACGCUGAGGUGCGAAAGCGUGGGGAGCAAACAGG
rnacentral:rRNA from 1 species